UGGGGAAUAUUGGACAAUGGGCGAAAGCCUGAUCCAGCCAUGCCGCGUGUGUGAAGAAGGUCUUAGGAUUGUAAAGCACUUUAAGUUGGGAGGAAGGGCAGUUACCUAAUACGUAAUUGUUUUGACGUUACCGACAGAAUAAGCACCGGCUAACUCUGUGCCAGCAGCCGCGGUAAUACAGAGGGUGCAAGCGUUAAUCGGAAUUACUGGGCGUAAAGCGCGCGUAGGUGGUUUGUUAAGUUGGAUGUGAAAUCCCCGGGCUCAACCUGGGAACUGCAUUCAAAACUGACUGACUAGAGUAUGGUAGAGGGUGGUGGAAUUUCCUGUGUAGCGGUGAAAUGCGUAGAUAUAGGAAGGAACACCAGUGGCGAAGGCGACCACCUGGACUAAUACUAACACUGAGGUGCGAAAGCGUGGGGAGCAAACA
rnacentral:rRNA from 1 species